CUCAUUUUUCUACUGCUCGUGGUAAGUGGCUUCGUGGUCUUUAUAGCUGUUACUCUUUUGUACUUUGUCUUUUUCUUUUAUUUUCUUUUGAGCGAUUGUGCGAACAUAGCAUAGCACGCACUAUGCCUUCUGUGUUGUAGCUGCCUGGCCAGGGCGACUGGCGGAUAAGGUCUUGUGCGUGGCCUCGAGGCUUAAAAGUAGCAGUGGGGCUUUGUGAAGGACAAAAUGGCGAUGGCGGGCCGUGUAGGUCCCCCUUCCUAUGAUGAGGACCUUUUCACAGACCUGUACUGAGCUCCGUGAGGAUAAAUAACUCUGAGGAGAUGGGCCCUGCAAGCCUCUUGCUUAGCCGUCUGUUCAGAAAAUAGCGUUUUCGAAAUGCCCUGAGUUGACCUAAUGUCUUAUUGGGCUCCUGUCUGCAGGAUUUACGCGCACGUUGGAACCGAAGAGAGCUCUGUUGUUGCAAUGUUCAGCCCACAAGAGCUUACUGGUGAAGGAAUGGGACAAGACCCAUCUUUAUGCAAAGCCAGCGUUACAGUAAUGUUCCAGGUAGGUGUACAUGGUUUAUGCUCUUACAGAGGAGACCUUGUAGAUAACCACUCCAUGAUGAACACAAAAUGACAAGCAUAUGGCUGAACUUUCAAGUGAUGUCAUCUUACUACUGAGAAGUGAGAGAGAGGUCUUAAGGGGUCUUUGAAUGACUAUUUUUAGGUACAUAAAAUGCUUUCCUCUGUUGUCUACAGCAUCUCAUAAUCUAUCCUGGGGAAUUCAGCUGCCUCCCAGGGUGAAUACAGGUAAUUAUCCAAAUUGGUGUAUGUCAUCUUUGUAAAUGUUCAAGAAAACAAGUGGCCGGCGGAACAAUGUUUUUUGGCGCCUUCCAUCUUGUUCCUCUUGAAAUGAUUUUCUGGGGAGGGAGAUCGCAACCCGGUACUACAGUUCUUGUAAGGGUGUGCUGUUACCCUCAUCCAUAUAUCGAUCACGUUACUGUCAGAUGAUUUGA
rnacentral:lncRNA from 1 species